rnacentral:rRNA from 1 species
GACAGAGGUGGCAAGCGUUGUUCGGAAUUACUGGGCUUAAAGGGCGCGUAGGCGGUGGGACAAGUCUGAGGUGGAAUCCGGAGGCUUAACCUCCGAACUGCCUUGGAAACUGUACUGCUUGAGUUAGACAGGGGAAGGCGGAAUUCCUGGUGUAGCGGUGAAAUGCGUAGAUAUCAGGAGGAAGGCCUGUGGCGAAGGCGGCCUUCUGGGUCUUAACUGACGCUGAGGCGCGAAAGCGUGGGGAGCAAACAGG